rnacentral:lncRNA from 1 species
GCACAUAAGUUUUAUAUUAAAAAAAAUAAAAAAGUAUAUAGUGUGAACACAUUUAUGAAUAUAGUGUGAACGCGUUAACAUAUUUAUUAUCAAAUCAUUGUGAGGCUGCCACGUGUAUAUUAUAGUGUGAAUGCAUUUAUUACAAUGCUUCUCCUUUAAUAUAUAAGGGAUUUUUGAAAAUUCAUUCUUCAUAUUAGGAAUGAGAAUUCUUUUAGGUUUUAUGCUCCUACUCGGAUGUUCUAUCUGCGUAGGUUUGCAAGAAAGUCCAACAUGGAAAAAACUACGACACUAAAACUAAAUUUGCUAUUACUAAAAGCAUUAAUAUUGAAAAUAUCUCAAGUAAUCUCAUAAAAAAAAUAACAGAGAGAAAUAAAAAAAGCAAAAAAAAAAAGAAAUAACUAAAAAAAAAAGAAAUAAUCUAUUGUUUGAAAUAUUGUUUUGAAAAAUUUAUUCUAUACUUUAAUUUUUUAAAUGAACAAUAUUUUUAAAUAUUAUUAUAUAUUGUGAGAAAUCUACUAGAUUUUCUCACAAUGUUAAUAAUCUUUUUUUGUCAAUAUUACGUUUUGUAAAAACUUAACUAGUACAAGAGGAUUCGAAAGACCAAUACAAACAUUAAAAGCCUAUUACAAAACUUAAAGGUAACUAUUAUACAAACAUUGCACGUGUAGUACACAUGUUAAACACAUGUACAAAUAGGCGGUGAGAAGUUUCCGGUUCAUCCAGUUUUGCUCACCGGUGUUCAACUUUCCGGUCAUCCCUAUGGUCGUGUAUUUGGAGAUGACACAUGAAGCUCCAUCGCCUUUUCGAAUCCGUUUUAAGAUCUACAUGUAGUGCUCGUCAGUUCUUCUAAUUUGAUUUCAAAAAGACCAUGGAUUAGACUGGAUGGUCUAAUCGAUCAAAUACAAAUAAUUUGUCAGGACGUUUUAUAACAAAUCUCUGACUUUAUUUAAUCUGCUUCCAAUUGAUAGGCUUCAUCCAUUAACUUCGAAUCUCAACCAAGAAGUAGAAAUUUUUCGACUUAUUUCAACAUGAAGAAGAUGAUUACUCUUCGAUGGAGGAGAUCUAGCACUCGCAGACAACAAGAGAACAAAUCAAAGUUUUGGAUAAAAAAUUAAACUUGUAUGGGGAGAAAGAGAUUCAAACAAAUCAGAGAUAGAUAAUGAAAAUAUGACGAAAAGUUAUGAUUAGCU